GCCUUCGUGGUGUAGUGGUCAGCACGGUCGACGCGUAACCGGGACGUCCGUGGUUCGAUUCCCGGCGAAGGCG
rfam:Stegodyphus mimosarum contig69128, whole genome shotgun sequence.